CCAAUAGCGUAUAUUAAAGUUGUUGCAGUUAAAAAGCUCGUAGUUGAAUUUCGGGGUCAGUAGGUUGGUCAUGCCACUGGUAUGUACUGGUCUCACUGAUUCCUCCUUCCUGAUGAACUGUAAUGCCAUUAAUUUGGUGUUGCAGGGAAUCUGGACUGUUACUUUGAAAAAAUUAGAGUGUGUAAAGCAGGCUAACGCCUGAAUACAUUAGCAUGGAAUAAUGAAAUAGGACGUUCGAUCCUAUUUUUUUGUUUUCUAGGAUUAACGUAAUGAUUAAUAGGGAUAGUUGGGGGCAUUAGUAUUCAAUUGUCAGAGGUGAAAUUCUUGGAUUUAUUAAAGAAUAACUGCUGCGAAAGCAGUUACCAAGGAUGUUUUCAUUAAUCAAGAACGAAAGUUAGGAGAUCGAAGACGAUCAGAUACCGUCGUAGUCUUAACCAUAAACUAUGCCGACUAGGGAUCGGAUGAUGUUAAUUUUUUAAUGACUCAUUCGGCGCCUUACG
rnacentral:rRNA from 1 species